UCGUUUGAAAAUAGCCAGUGACUCAGCUGUCUGGACCUCUAGGGGAAUGUCAUUCCACCACCUUGGUGCCAGAACAGAAAAGACAUUCAUGAUGAUUUAAUUUCUAUGAAUCAAAUCUAGAUAAAUAAAACACUUUUUGUUUAAAUUUAAAAAUUAUGUGCUCCAUGGUGAAUAUUCGGCUCCCAGUAUAGGGCUUAUGGUACACAAAAUUAAUUGAAAUCUAUACUGCUGUUAGUGUUUGAAAUUCCAAAAUAAAAUCAAUGAAAUUAGCAGUGGCUGGAAUUUCUGUUAUCAAAGCCCCUGGUAACAGAUUUCAUAUUUAUUUGACACACAGUGUCAAAAGAAUCAGGCACCUUAUAUUUUAUAUUCUUUGAGAAUUUUUUAUGAAUUGUUAUUUUGUUUCUGGAUUUAUUUUGUUUUGCACUUCUCAGCCACUGUAGUAUAAUUUUAGUUUAUGGUAUUUUCUACAAUGGUGGUAGGAUGUAAUAAUUGAAGUACCUACAGUGGUGUAGUGUAAGUAGUGGAGAACAUUUACAAUAUUUAGCAGAUGUCCUUAUCCACACCAACUGACAUUAAUCUCAUUUAUACAUUUGAACAGUGUGCUGGGAUUAAUUACUAAAAACUAAUGACAUCCUGAUCAGAAGUCCAAUUACUUCACCAAUGAAACUUUUGUUUUUGUUAUUUAUUUAUUUAUACUUCCAGUGCAUCUAUCAGCUUCAAAUCUACCGACAUUUGACUUUGUGCUUAUACAUACAGUAUGAACAAAAAACAAUGUAUUCGUGAGUACAGACAAAGAUCUACACAACACUUUACAACAACAAAUAUUUACAAGAUUAAUAUUUUAAUAAUAUAUAUAUUAAUAAUAAAGAGACACUUAAUUUCAUUUUAUUUUACACUAUUAAUACCAGAAGAGUGAGAUGUUUGGUUAGUGUUUUAAACAAUCAGAUUCUCCCUCAUUUUAGGUGAAAACAGCAGCUAGGUUUCUUGUGAUUGAGAGGUUUUUCAUCACCUAGACACACAAACUACACUCACUCACUCUUCUAAACAUCUUAAACUGAGGAAUGAGAUGAAAUCUCUGUAGCUGGUGAGAUUUAUUUUCUUUCUUUUCCUGUAUUAUCUUCUUGAAUUAUUCCUUUUCCAAGGUUUUAUUUUUUGGUUUACAUGUUGUAUAAGAGUUUUAGCUCCACUUAUUGUUCUUGGUUUAUAAGAGUACAUAAUUAAAGUUCUGGAACCGAUCUUGGGGUAUUUUGUCGAGUGGGAGUACCAUUGCUGCAGCACUUCCUGUGUUCAGGGUUCAUGGACUAUGCGUCAAUCUCAGACUGUGAGUACUGUACACACUGAGGGUUAAUGACCCUGUGGAUGUACUGUGGCUCUCCCCUCGAGUAACUUGGAUGGAAAUGUACCAGAUCAGUGCUGUACCAGCUUUCUGACACAACGAAUGCCUCUUUACUCUACUGGACGGUCGUCAUGUGUGUGCAGAUCCCAGCUUCAAGUGGGUGAAGCAUCACAUGAACAGAAUGUACCAGCUUUUAACAACCUGAACAAAC